CACAAAACAAAAUAUUAAAAUUGAAAACUAACAUUAGUUUUUCAAGAAUUAAAAAAAAUAUAUACAUUAUGAAGUUUUUUCACAUUUUUUUGGGUUUACUUAUUAUAGCUUUAAUGUCUAAUGCACAAAUAAUCAAUGUUGACAAGCCCCCUACUGGUCCAUCAACUUGUCCUGUGCCUGUAGAUAAAUGUGGAGAUGCAUGCAAUCAAAGAUGUUCAGCUACAUCUCACAAAAAACCUUGUUUAUUUUUUUGCAACAAAUGUUGUGAAUGGUGUCAAUGUGUUCCACCAGGAACAAGUGGGGGUAAAGAGUGUUGUGAUUGCUAUAAUAAUUGGAAAACAAAAAGAGGAGGACCAAAAUGUCCAUAAGUUUUUUUUUUAUUGGAUAAUUUAGUUUUAUGUUUAAGUUUCUUUAUUAAAAUAAUAUUUUCUGAGAAGUAUUUCCCAUGUA